rnacentral:misc_RNA from 1 species
UGGAAAGUAAUGAUUGCCCUUCGAUGGUGCACGAUCAUAAAAUUAUAGUUUCGAUUCAGUGUCAGAAUGAAAGUUUUGGUGCUUGAAUUAUGAUUGUUUCUGGGAAAAACCAAUGCAUGUUGUCUCCCACGUUAUGUAAAGAUUGAUGCACAGUUAGCUAUGAAAUUUUAAGCCAGCCUAUUCUCAUAAGUUAUGUUGUGUGCUGAGAACCAUUUUUUGCAAACAGAAAUGCUGGUUCUGAAGUGAGUA